AUACGUAGGUGGCAAGCGUUGUCCGGAAUUACUGGGUGUAAAGGGAGCGUAGGCGGGUGUGCAAGUUGAAUGUGAAAGCAAUCGGCUCAACUGAUUGUUGCGUUCAAAACUGUACAUCUUGAGUGAAGUAGAGGCAGGCGGAAUUCCUAGUGUAGCGGUGAAAUGCGUAAAUAUUAGGAGGAACACCAGUGGCGAAGGCGGCCUGCUGGGCUUUAACUGACGCUGAGGCUCGAAAGCGUGGGUAGCAAACAGGAUUAGAUACCCUGGUAGUCCACGCUGUAAACGAUGAUUACUAGGUGUGGGGGGACUGACCCCUUCCGUGCCGCAGUUAACACUAUAAGUAAUCCACCUGGGGAGUACGACCGCAAGGUUGAA
rnacentral:rRNA from 1 species